UACGAAGGGGGCUAGCGUUGCUCGGAAUUACUGGGCGUAAAGGGCGCGUAGGCGGCCGCCUAAGUCAGACGUGAAAUCCCCAAGCUUAACUUGGGAACUGCGUCUGAUACUGGGUGGCUUGAGUUCGGGAGAGGAAUGUGGAAUUCCAGGUGUAGCGGUGAAAUGCGUAGAUAUCUGGAGGAACACCGGUGGCGAAGGCGGCAUUCUGGACCGAAACUGACGCUGAGGCGCGAAAGCCAGGGGAGCAAACGG
rnacentral:rRNA from 1 species